AGGCUGCAGUUCCUGGGCUGAAGUGAAAGACCCCAGACUUGCCAGUGAAGAGACUUAAGCCAGGACCCUGAGCAUCCAUGGUGGACAGUGUGCCUGCAGAGCUGAUGGCUGUUGUCGAUUCUACAGAUUGUGCCCCUUAUAAGUGUCGUUGCUGCCAUCAGAACUGCUUAUUUUGCCAACAGAAUUUAAACGAUAUUGGCAUGAGCCCUCCUUGCCUUAACGCUGCGGCCUGGAAAAGGCAGAAUCCCCAUUUGGAAAAGGGUUAAUAAAUUCACUUUCUGCAUCCUCUCCUAGCUUGGAUAGCAAGUGCUACAGUGGAGCAAGUGGAGCAAGUGCU